rnacentral:rRNA from 1 species
UACGAAGGGGGCUAGCGUUGCUCGGAAUUACUGGGCGUAAAGGGCGCGCAGGCGGCUGCUCAAGUCAGGCGUGAAAGGCCUGGGCUCAACCCGGGAAUUGCGCUUGAGACUGGGCUGGCUUGAGUGCGGGAGAGGAUGGUGGAAUUCCCAGUGUAGAGGUGAAAUUCGUAGAUAUUGGGAAGAACACCGGUGGCGAAGGCGGCCAUCUGGACCGCAACUGACGCUGAGGCGCGAAAGCGUGGGGAGCAAACAGG